AUUGAACGCUGGCGGAAUGCUUUACACAUGCAAGUCGAACGGCAGCACGGGGGCAACCCUGGUGGCGAGUGGCGAACGGGUGAGUAAUACAUCGGAACGUGCCCAGUCGUGGGGGAUAACUACGCGAAAGCGUAGCUAAUACCGCAUACGAUCUACGGAUGAAAGCGGGGGAUCGCAAGACCUCGCGCGAUUGGAGCGGCCGAUGGCAGAUUAGGUAGUUGGGAGGUAAAGGCUCACCAAGCCUUCGAUCUGUAGCUGGUCUGAGAGGACGACCAGCCACACUGGGACUGAGCACGGCCCAGACUCCUACGGGGAGGCAGCAGGUGGGGAAUAUUGGACAAUGGGCGAAAGCCUGAUCCAG
rnacentral:rRNA from 1 species